AAGUCGUAACAAGGUUUCCGUAGGUGAACCUGCGGAAGGAUCAUUAACACUUUUUUAUUUUUUAUUUUAAAAGUAUUAUUAAAUAAUAUUUUUAAAUAAAAAACAAAACAAAACCCCACAAUUUUGGAUGAAUUUAAUUUAAUUUAAUUUUUACUUUUUAUUUAACUCUAUAUAAAUUUUAUUGACUAACAUUUAUUAUUAUUAUUUUAUUAAAUUAAAAAAACAACUCUUAACAACGGAUAUCUUGGCUCUC
rnacentral:misc_RNA from 1 species